rnacentral:rRNA from 1 species
AUUGAACGCUGGCGGCAGGCCUAACACAUGCAAGUCGAACGAGUGGCGGACGGGUGAGUAAUGUCUGGGAAACUGCCCGAUGGAGGGGGCUAACUACUGGAAACGGUAGCUAAUACCGCAUACCAUCGGAUUUGCCCAGAUGGGAUUAGCUAGUAGGGGGGGUAACGGCUCACCUAGGCGACGAUUCCGAGCUGGUCGGAGAGGAUGACCAGCGACACUGGAACGGCGACACGUUCCAGACUCCUACGCGAGGCAGCAGUGGGGAAUAUUGCACAAUGGGCGCAAGCCUGCUGCAGCCAUGCCGCGUGUAUGUAGAAGGCCUUAGGGUUGUAAAGUACUUUCAGCGAGGAGGCGUUACUCGCAGAAGAAGCACCGGCUAACUCCGUGCCAGCAGCCGCGGUAAUAC